AACGCGUAGAUAAUCUACCCCCAUAUUUGGGAUAACAUCGGGAAACUUGGUGCUAAUACCGGAUACACUUUAUUACCCUGCGAGGGGAAAUGAGGAAAGGAGNCCUCUUCUUGAAAGUUUCUGUAUAGGGAUGAGUCUGCGUACCAUUAGCUAGUAGGUGGGGUAAGAGCCUACCUAGGCAACGAUGGUUAGCGGGUCUGAGAGGAUGAUCCGCCACNCUGGAACUGGAACACGGACCAGACUCCUACGGGAGGCAGCAGUGAGGAAUAUUGCGCAAUGGGGGAAACCCUGACGCAGUGACGCCGCGUGAGUGAAGAAGGUCUUCGGGUCGUAAAGCUCUGUCGGGUGGGAAGAAAUGCUGUUAGGUUAAUACCCUAGUAGUUUGACGGUACCACUAAAGGAAGCACCGGCUAAAUCCGUGCCAGCAGCCGCGGUAAUAC
rnacentral:rRNA from 1 species